rnacentral:miRNA from 1 species
AAAAAAAUGUAGAGAUAUUGUGA